GGUCAGUAUCUUCUGGCAAGGUGAAUGGGACAACGUCGGGAGUCUGUUCGUUUGACUCCCUGCGUUGUGCAUCGUUCUGGUGUGCGGCGACGGAAAAUAACCCUACAACGAUAUAGCCGGCUACUAGGACCCCUGGGGGUACUUAGCCUAGCCACAGGGAGUACUUAAGACUCAUGAGACAAUAUGCUUACUACAGCAGGAUUAAUCUCAGUCUUAUUAAUGGACAACUCAUCAGAUAUCACAGCAGCUUUCCCCCGAGGCCAACAAGUGUUAUGACACUCAGCCACAGGCCUGGAGUUUCCAGUUGUCUCGAAAGCACCAAUAAACCCUGAAUUGCUGAUGCUAUGUGUUGGCCAAUGAGAGACUUUGAAGCCACUGGUCGGCCAUAUUAGCACUUCCCAGACUCUCCAACCCGGUUCCUGAAGAGCAAGCAACAGAUUUUCAUUCCAAAAUGUAUCUAGCGCAACUGAUUCUAAUAAUUAGCUGGUUGAUAAUAUGAACCAGGUUAGUUACAGCUAACAGAGGUUGGAGCGAAAACAUGCAAGAGGGUACUUAGCUGAACAGGAUUAGAGAGCCCUGCUCAGAAGAAGCAGUCUCCAUAGGAAUGAAUGGAAAUCUACAGUAUUGCGCAAGAAAUAUAAGUUAAAUAUGCAAUUCAAUUGCACAAUUAAAUGUUUCAAGGACACAAUUACAGGUAUUAUUUUGUGGUAGUGGCCACAGUAACAUUAUAAAAAGUAUGAUUUAAGGGAAAUGGUUUUAUAUAUUUUUUAUGUUUAUGUUUAGCUCACAUAAUAUUAUUUUUAA